rnacentral:rRNA from 1 species
GACAGAGGUGCCGAGCGUUAGGCGGAAUCACUGGGCUUAAAGCGUGUGUAGGCGGAUCGUUAAGUACCUUGUGAAAUCCCACGGCUCAACCGUGGAACUGCUGGGUAUACUGGCGGUCUUGAGCCACUUAGGGGCUACCGGAACAAAUGGUGGAGCGGUGAAAUGCGUAGAUAUCAUUUGGAACGCCAAUGGUGAAAACAGGUAGCUGGGAGUGUGCUGACGCUGAGACACGAAAGCCAGGGGAGCGAACGGG